rnacentral:rRNA from 1 species
GAAUAUUGGGCAAUGGGCGCGAGCCUGACCCAGCCAUGCCGCGUGCAGGAAGAAGGCCUUCUGGGUUGUAAACUGCUUUUAUACGGGAAGAAAACGCUCUUGCGAGAGUAACUGACGGUACCGUAGGAAUAAGCACCGGCUAACUCCGUGCCAGCAGCCGCGGUAAUACGGAGGGUGCAAGCGUUGUCCGGAUUUAUUGGGUUUAAAGGGUGCGUAGGCGGCCUUUUAAGUCAGGGGUGAAAUCCCGGGGCUCAACCCCGGAACUGCCUUUGAUACUGGGAGGCUUGAGUUCGGUAGAGGCGGGCGGAACUGGUGGUGUAGCGGUGAAAUGCAUAGAUACCACCAAGAACCCCGAUUGCGAAGGCAGCUCGCUGUGCCGAAACUGACGCUGAGGCACGAAAGCGUGGGGAGCGAACAGG